rnacentral:rRNA from 1 species
GACGAACCGUGCGAACGUUGUUCGGAAUCACUGGGCGUAAAGCGCACGUAGGCGGAUUGGUACGUCAGGGGUGAAAUCCUGGAGCUCAACUCCAGAACUGCCUUUGAUACUGGCGAUCUCGAGUCCGGGAGAGGUGAGUGGAACUGCGAGUGUAGAGGUGAAAUUCGUAGAUAUUCGCAAGAACACCAGUGGCGAAGGCGGCUCACUGGCCCGGUACUGACGCUGAGGUGCGAAAGCGUGGGGAGCAAACAGG